GAAUCAACGCUGGCGGCGUGCCUAACACAUGCAAGUCGAACGCGAAAGUGGAGCAAUCCAUGAGUAGAGUGGCAAACGGGUGAGUAACACGUGGGUGACCUGCCUUCGAGUGGGGGAUAACGUCCCGAAAGGGACGCUAAUACCGCAUAAUAUGCUGUCUUUUAAGAGAGAGACAUCAAAGCCGGGGACCGCAAGGCCUGGCGCUUGAAGAGGGGCCCGCGCCUGAUUAGCUAGUUGGUGGGGUAAUGGCUCACCAAGGCAACGAUCAGUAUCCGGCCUGAGAGGGCGGACGGACACACUGGGACUGAGACACGGCCCAGACUCCUACGGGAGGCAGCAGUGGGGAAUUGUUCGCAAUGGGCGCAAGCCUGACGACGCAACGCCGCGUGGAGGAUGAAGAUCUUCGGGUCGUAAACUCCUUUCGAUCGAGACGAAUGGCCCUUGGGAUAAUACCCUGAGGGAGUGACGGUACCGAGAG
rnacentral:rRNA from 1 species